AUACUCUGGGAAACUGGGGAUAAUACUGGAUAUUAGGCUAUGCCUGGAAUGGUUUGCCUUUGAAAUGUUUUUUCGCCUAAGGAUAGAUCUGCGGCUGAUUAGGUCGUUGGUGGGGUAAUGGCCCACCAAGCCGAUGAUCGGUACGGGUUGUGAGAGCAAGAGCCCGGAGAUGGAACCUGAGACAAGGUUCCAGACCCUACGGGGUGCAGCAGGCGCGAAACCUCCGCAAUGUACGAAAGUGCGACGGGGGGAUCCCAAGUGUCAUGCUUUUUUGUAUGACUUUUCAUUAGUGUAAAAAGCUUUUAGAAUAAGAGCUGGGCAAGACCGGUGCCAGCCGCCGCGGUAACACCGGCAGCUCGAGUGGUAGCUGUUUUUAUUGGGCCUAAAGCGUUCGUAGCCGGUUUGAUAAGUCUUUGGUGAAAGCUUGUAGCUUAACUAUAAGAAUUGCUGGAGAUACUAUUAGACUUGAAGUCGGGAGAGGUUAGAGGUACUACCGGGGUAGGGGUGAAAUCCUAUAAUCCUGNGAGGGACACCUGUGGCGAAGGCGUCUAACUGGAACGAUCUUGACGGUGAGUAACGAAAGCCAG
rnacentral:rRNA from 1 species